rnacentral:rRNA from 1 species
ACGUAGGGCGCAAGCGUUGUCCGGAAUUAUUGGGCGUAAAGAGCUCGUAGGCGGUUUGUCGCGUCUGCUGUGAAAGCCCGGGGCUCAACCCCGGGUCUGCAGUGGGUACGGGCAGACUAGAGUGCAGUAGGGGGAGACUGGAAUUCCCGUGGUGUAGGCGGUGAAAUGCGCAGAUAAUCAGGAGGAACACCGAUGGCGAAAGGCAGGUCUCUGGGCUGAUUACUGACGCUGAGGACGAAAGCAUGGGGAGCGAACAG